CAUGGUUGGGUCUUUGAGCAAGACCCUUAACUUUUAGCUGAGGUGAAUCCUGCAUCAGCCAAGUCAUGGACUACGAAUACUUUCAUUCUAAAACUCUGCUGAGAGUUGUCCACAGUUGAAUGAGCAGAUACCAGGGCAAUCAGGUCACUGAAGCAGUAUCCAUCAGAGAACUGCAGAAAGCUGUAGAAGACCUAAUUGGCUUGGGAAAUGACAAUCACUGCUGUAUCCUUCAAGUAAGAAGUAAUAGCAAGCAAGGUGGAGUGUUGCCAGUGGCAAGUGUUCCACUCUGCUUGAUACACAGCUUUCAUCAUAACUGCACUCCGUGUCAAACACACAAAGACACUAGAUCAACAGACAUCCUAAAUGUCAUAGAUGCUAUGUAUUGCAAGUAGGUUAUUAAAAAAUGUUUACUGUUAUAACCAGAGUCAUUUUAACAUCAUGUUCUAAAUCUGA